AACUUUCAACAACGGAUCUCUUGGCUCUCGCAUCGAUGAAGAACGCAGCGAAAUGCGAUAAGUAAUGUGAAUUGCAGAAUUCAGUGAAUCAUCGAAUCUUUGAACGCACCUUGCGCCUCUUGGUAUUCCGAGAGGCAUGCCUGUUUGAGUGUCA
rnacentral:rRNA from 1 species